rnacentral:lncRNA from 1 species
AAAGGCACUCAUAAUCAUAAUCACAGCCAUUACUAUGUUUUCUGGCAGCUCAGUGGCACUCUUCCAUCACCGGCCUCCAGAGAUGCAGUUUUGCCUCCAGAGCAGAGAGCAUCUGUGUGCAGCAGAGGAUCAGCCUGUGUUCCUGCCCCGGUCAACCAGGAGCGCUUUUGCAGUGACACAGCCCACCCAGGGAGCACCACCAGUGACUGAGGAUCACCUAACAAAUGAGGGAGCUGCUCCAUUCUUAGCUGUUCUUUUCCUCUCCCAAGAAUCUUUCAUUCUUUGGUAACUUCGGGGUGAAACACAGCAGAUUUAAAAUUCCAAACAGCAUUUUGCUCUAGAUGCCCUGCAAUGUGGCUCUGAAUGCAGAAAGCAGUGGAAUAUAUAAGAAGGCUCUUUAUAAACUUAAAAGUUUUAAAGAGAAAGGCCAAAAGUGCUUGCUUGUCCUCCCCUCCUCCCCAUUACUCAUUUGUGUGCAUUUAGAAAUGGGAAAGAAUUUCCACGCCAGCAUCCUAAGCCUCCUUUCUGAGAUUCCUAGGAAGUAUGGAGUCAGUGCCCCUGGGUCAGGCUGUUAAGGAGCUUGUCUUCCAACCUGUCUCAUCUGAAAUUCCACCAUUAGAGCUACCUUUCCUAGGAAGUGUUCUCCUACCUUCUCAAGCAGAUCCUGGGGUUCUUCUAUGUUCCCACAGGCAGUGUGACCAAAUGUACCUUUUUCCAGGUAUUAUCCCAGUUUGGGCAAUCAAAAUCCCACAGGUUAGAAAAUCUCAGACUCCUGGGAAAACUGCGACAGCUGGUCACUAUUGCACUGUGUUCAAAUGUCAGAAUUUACAUUAUUGGAGUAAUCAAGUUGCUUGGUGAGUGCCCUCACUGUGAACCCUUUGAAGAUAGAAAUCAUAUAAACUUGAAGACAUUAGUUGUUGAAAAAAUGAAGGAAAAUUUUAUAGAAUAAGUGAAUGAAUGAGAUUAAUAAAUCUGAUAAGAUUGCUUAUAGUUUCUCCAGAUUGAUGCAUCAAAUAUAAUAAAAUGUCUGGAUUACAUGCCUGAAUUUAAUGGCUAGAAAUGAUCCUGAAAUUGUUUUUGAGAACAAUGAGUAUUAAUAAAACAUCCCAGGACAUGAAGUUGCUGAACAUCAUCAAGCAAUGAGAGAUGAGGAUCGAAGUUGAACACAAGCUUUUUUUUUUCAAGACAGGAAAACAAGAAUUGUGGUCUGAAUAUGCUCCCCAAAGUUUAUGUGUUCGGAGGUGGGACAUAGUGGAAGAUGUUUUGAUAAUAAGGACACCAUUCUUGGGAAUAAGUAAAUACUAUUAACUCAGAAGCAUAGUUUGUUUGUUUGUUUUAAUAAAAUGACAAGUUUGUUUCCUCCUGCUCACCCUCUCUCCUCCCAUUUGUCAUGGCUUGGUGUAGCAAGAUGGCAGCUCCUGAAUCUUAGACUUUCAAGCCUCAGGAAUCAUGAGCCUAUAAAUUUCUAUUCAUUGUAAGUUACCCAGUGUGUAGUUUUAUGCUAUAGCAACACAGAACACAAUAAGCCAGCAAGAGAUAAGGGUUUUCUUUUUUUUCCUGGUCCAUCUUUUUUGCAUUGUCAAGUAAACCCAAUGUGUACAAUCUAUGGUGUAAAAAGCUUAUUGGAUAUUCAUAGCUAAAUUCAUUGUAUUACUUUUUCUUUUCAUUCAGUUAAAUGAGUUACAGGGCAAUAUGAUAAGUAACAGAGGUGAGAGCAGGAAGAAAACAAGGUCAACCUGGCAUGUUGGAAGGUGGCAUGAAGGCCUGAUUAGUGAAAGGACCCGAAGCCAGGUGGCCUGGCUUGAACUCUACCCACUUCUACCUUCUCACUUUGUGAACUUGGGUAGGUUAACAUCACUAGUGUUCAAUUGUCUUUUAUGUGAAACAACAAUAGUAAUAAUACUAUAAUGAUAAUACUAUCUAGUAGGGUUACUCUGAAGAUAAAUGAGAUACAACUCUUGGC